rnacentral:rRNA from 1 species
GAUGAACGCUGGCGGCGUGCUUAACACAUGCAAGUCGAACGGAAAGGCUCCUGCUUGCAGGGGUUCUCGAGUGGCGAACGGGUGAGUAACACGUGGGUGAUCUGCCCUGCACUUCGGGAUAAGACUGGGAAACUGGGUCUAAUACCGGAUAGGACGAUGGUUUGGAUGCCAUUGUGGAAAGAUUUUUCGGUGUGGGAUGAGCUCGCGGCCUAUCCGCUCGUUGGUGGGGUAAUGGCAUACGAAGGCGUCGCCGGGUCGCCGGCCUGGGAGGGGGUACGGCGACAUUGGGACUGAGAGACGGCCCAGACUGCAACGGGAGGCAACAGUGGGGAAUAUGGCGCAAUGGGGGCGAGCGUGAUGCAGCGGCGCCGCGUGGGGGAUGACGGCCUUCGGGUUGUAAACACAUUUCGAUAGGGACGAAGCGAAAGUGACGGUACCUGGAGAAGAAGCACCGGCUAACUACGUG